GAUGAACGCUGGCGGCGUGCCUAAUACAUGCAAGUCGAGCGAAGCGGGGACGGGUGAGUAAAGCGUGGAUAAACUCCUAUAAGAAUGGGCUAACUUCGGGAAACCGGAGCUAAACCGGAUACUUAUAGAUGGAGCCGCGCUGCAUUAGCUAGUUGGUAAGGUACCGGCUGACAAAGUCAACGAUGCAUAGGCGACCUGAGAGGUUGAUCGUCCACACUGGAACAUGGACACGGUCCAGACUCCGACUGGCGGCAGCAUGGGGGAAUCUGGCACAAUGGGCGAAAGCCUGACGGAGCAAUGCCGCGUGACUGCGGAAUGUCUUCGGAUCGUAAAACGCUGUUAUUAGUGAAGCGGUACCUAAUCAGAAAGCGACGGCUAACUACGUGCCAGCAGCCGCGGUAAUAC
rnacentral:rRNA from 1 species